UGGGCUGUGGCUCAGUGGUAGAGCACUUGCCUAGCAUGUAGUGAGGCACUGGGUUCAGUUCUCAGCACCACAU
rnacentral:tRNA from 1 species